GCCGAUUGGCUAUUUUCCUGGUAGUAGACUAUUUACACAGUCCAAAACAUUCUCAGUCUAUACGCCACAGCAGGGUCACUUCAAUAAACCACUAAGUCCAACCGUUACGCCCCCACGCCAACAGGGGAGACACUUCCUCUAGUGAGCAGUGGUUGCACUGUGGUCGCGCUUCCACCAGAACAGCUGAUAGGAUAAACAACAGUCAGUGUGCGGCGGCAAAUUCAGAGAGGAGCAUCUCCAAGCCUCACCAGCGCUCAUUCCUUCUAGAAGAGGGGACCUUUAAACGAGCACUUCCCUUUUUGCUUGGAAGAAUGGAGAGCAUUGGAUCUAGUGCCAGAUGAGUGGUUACUUGUCUCGCCAGGAGAAUGGACAUCUGCUUUCGGAAAAUCAGAGCCAGCCGUAGCCUACCAGGGUUCACUCGGAGACACAUAGGCACUACCGGAGCAAUGACUAACUUUGCCUCUUAAUGGGGUCGUGACCUCCUCUUUGCUCGGAGCUGUCUGCAAGUCAUUCAAGCAAUUAGGUAAACUCUAGGUUGCUGUCCAUAGAGGACCGGUUGGCUGCUCUGGAGUCGAAAAACUGUGCGGGAGAGACAAACUUUAAGAAGAGAAGACUGGUGCACAAUCCCAAGCUUGCGGAAGCAGUACGCCGUCUUCACAACUCGGAGACAAAUUGCAGGCGCUACGAACCGGAGCAAGGACUAAUCUCGCCUCAUAAUGAGGCGGUGACCUCCUAUUUGCUCGGAGCAAUAUCUGCAAGUCCAGAUUUACACGAUGUUGAUAAAGACGACAUUGUGUCCGCCUGUAAGACGUAUUACGAGACGGUACGCAGGAGCUUUAGAUAUACCCAGCCAGAAAACUCAUUGCGGGCGGAAGCUGCGAAGAGUUCAGCUCGGAGUUGAGCGAGAAGAAAGAGGCUGCUGGAAUCGAGACAGUGUGCUAGCAGAUGACUAGGUGGAACUCUGGAAGUCCGCCACCGUAGACCUCAUGUCUGACGAAGAAGAUGGCGUUGUUGGCGGGGUCUCUGGAUGGAUUGUACGGUCGCUGUCAUUUCGUAGGCCGGAGCUCUCUGAACUCUGUGCGAAGCUGCAGUCCCGGUUAGAGGCGACACCGAAGUACAGAGCCACGCACAAUAGGCGUCUGCCUAACGGACCUGCCUCGGAAAGAACGCCGCCAGUUACCUACAACCCCGAGGAGGCAAACGGACAGUUCACGGAGUUGUAGUUUUUGGAUCAUCCUCUACCCAUGUGUGGGCAGAUCCUCGCUUUGUAUAUAGUUGUGUUUGUUUUAAUAAAGCUCUUUCUUUGCAUAAA